rnacentral:rRNA from 1 species
AAUAUUGGACAAUGGGCGCAAGCCUGAUCCAGCCAUACCGCGUGGGUGAAGAAGGCCUNCGGGUUNUNAAGCCCUUUUGUUGGGANAGAAAUCCAGCUGGCUAAUACCCGGUUGGGAUGACGGUACCCACAGAAUCAGCACCGGCUAAUUUCGUGCCAGCAGCAGCGGUAAUACGAAGGGUGCAAGCGUUACUCGGAAUUACUGGGCGUAAAGCGUGCGUAGGUGGUCGUUUAAGUCCGUUAUGAAAGCCCUGGGAUCAACCUGGGAACUGCAGUAGAUACUGGGCGACUAGAAUGUGGUAGAGGGUAGCGGAAUUCCUGGUGUAGCAGUGAAAUGCGUAGAGAUCAGGAGGAACAUCCAUGGCGAAGGCAGCUACCUGGACCAACAUUGACACUGAGGCACGAAAGCGUGGGGAGCAAA